rnacentral:rRNA from 1 species
GAUCCUGGGCUCAGGACGAACGCUGGCGGCGUGCUUAACACAUGCAAGUCGAACGAGAAUCUGUGGAACGAGGAUUCGUCCAAGUGAAGCAGAGGACAGUGGCGGACGGGUGAGUAACGCGUGAGGAACCUGCCUUUCAGAGGGGGACAACAGUUGGAAACGACUGCUAAUACCGCAUAACACAUGGGUGUCGCAUGGCACUGAUGUCAAAGAUUUAUCGCUGAAAGAUGG